rnacentral:rRNA from 1 species
CGCAAGCCUGAUGCAGCAACGCCGCGUGCGCGAUGAAGGCCUUCGGGUCGUAAAGCGCUUUCGGGGAGAUGAGGAAGGACAGUAUCCCCGGAAUAAGUCUCGGCUAACUCCGUGCCAGCAGCCGCGGUAAUACGGGGGGGCAAGCGUUGUUCGGAAUUACUGGGCGUAAAGGGUUCGUAGGUGGCUCGCUAAGUCAGACGUGAAAUCCCUCAGCUUAACUGGGGAACUGCGUCUGAGACUGGCGAGCUCGAGUGCAGGAGAGGAACGCGGAAUUCCAGGUGUAGCGGUGAAAUGCGUAGAUAUCUGGAGGAACACCGGUGGCGAAGGCGGCGUUCUGGACUGCAACUGACACUGAGGAACGAAAGCCAGGGUAGCAAACGGGAUUAGAUACCCCGGUAGUCCUGGCCCUAAACGAUGAAUGCUUGGUGUGGCGGGUAUCGAUCCCUGCCGUGCCGAAGUUAACGCGUUAAGCAUUCCGCCUGGGGAGUACGGUCGCAAGGCUG